rnacentral:rRNA from 1 species
AUUGAACGCUGGCGGCAGGCCUAACACAUGCAAGUCGAGCGGAUGAAGGGAGCUUGCUCCUGGAUUCAGCGGCGGACGGGUGAGUAAUGCCUAGGAAUCUGCCUGGUCGUGGGGGAUAACGUCCGGAAACAGGCGCUAAUACCGCAUACGUCCUGAGGGAGAAAGUGGGGGAUCUUCGGACCUCACGCUAUCAGAUGAGCCUAGGUCGGAUUAGCUAGUUGGUGGGGUAAAGGCUUACCAAGGCGACGAUCCGUAACUGGUCUGAGAGGAUGAUCAGUCACACUGGAACUGAGACACGGUCCAGACUCCUACGGGAGGCAGCAGUGGGGAAUAUUGGGCAAUGGGCGAAAGCCUGAUCCAGCCAUGCCGCGUGUGUGAAGAAGGUCUUCGGAUUGUAAAGCACUUUAAGUUGGGAGGAAGGGAAGUAAGUUAAUACCUGGCUGUUUUGACGUUACCAACAGAAUAAGCACCGGCUAACUUCGUG